UGGACUACUCAUCCGUUUUUUUAGUUAAUUCUGCUUUUUGCAGGAUUUUUAGUGAACUCCUAUACUGUGAGCAUUGGACUACACAUUAUGUUUUUUUGCAGGAUUACAAGUUCAUUCUGUUUUUCAGAUAGUUGGCUAUAUUGCUGACAGAUAGCUGGUUGCACAAUUACCUGUUGAUAAGGCGAUUGAACUGUGGGGUUUUAGCAGGGAGUUUGAAGUCCUAUUUGGUGCCAAGCUCCUAAACUGAGAAGGCACAGUAGGCACACAAGUAACUAUUGUUUCUAUGCUCCAAACUUAGAUGUUCUAAGCUCUCCAUGAUUAGGAAAUAUCUAUUGUUUCUGUGCACCAAAUCCAAGUUGCAGGUACCUCCAAGUUUUUAUUUAAUGUUGUUAAUCUACUUCAAUAUGGUCUAGCUACAAGUUGAUGUGAACCUAUGAUUGUGUUAUAUAGGGCUUCAAUCCUAGCAUUGGUCACGUGUUAUGACAGUGUGGUCGAGCAUGAGAUUUGAACCACUAAUUGUGUUAUGUCGAGCUUGUAUAAGCUAUCCUUUAUUAUCUAUCCUUAUUAUCUUCAGAUACAUGUGAUCAGCGAUCAUCUAUAGAGUAAUUUGAACUCUAUGUGCUGUAGACUUUUUACUCAUAACCUCCACAUUCCUAAACUUAUGUUUUUUAAGUUUGAGAUGAUGAUGUGCUUAUGUGAAGUUAAUGCUGACAACAAUACUAUUGGAUGGUAAGCUAAGAUAUUUCAUUUUCAACUAAUAUCAUAUAGAUACUUGGUUAAUUGAGAAUUAGUCAGUUGUGUAUUGCACAACUAAGAAGCAUACAAGUGUUUAUGCCUCUGAUAUGUUUGUCACCUUUUACUGGUCUAGAAUCGAUGAAAACAUUAGCUUUCUUAGCCAUAAGAGUUUUUUGUGCUUCCUUCUAUAUCACUAUUUGUUGGGAACUUUGCGCUUUUAA